GAUGAACGCUGGCGGCGUGCCUAAUACAUGCAAGUCGAGCGAACAGACGAGGAGCUUGCUCCUCUGACGUUAGCGGCGGACGGGUGAGUAACACGUGGAUAACCUACCUAUAAGACUGGGAUAACUUCGGGAAACCGGAGCUAAUACCGGAUAAUAUAUUGAACCGCAUGGUUCAAUAGUGAAAGACGGUUUUGCUGUCACUUAUAGAUGGAUCCGCGCCGCAUUAGCUAGUUGGUAAGGUAACGGCUUACCAAGGCAACGAUGCGUAGCCGACCUGAGAGGGUGAUCGGCCAGACGGGAACUGAGACACGGUCCAGACUCCUACGGGAGGCAGCAGUAGGGAAUCUUCCGCAAUGGGCGAAAGCUUGACGGAGCAACGCCGCGUGAGUGAUGAAGGUCUUCGGAUCGGAAAACUCUGUUAUUAGGGAAGAACAAAUGUGUAAGUAACUAUGCACGUCUUGACGGUACCUAAUCAGAAAGCCACGGCUAACUACGUG
rnacentral:rRNA from 1 species